GACGAACGCUGGCGGCGUGCUUAACACAUGCAAGUCGAGCGGUAAGGCCCUUUCGGGGGUACACGAGCGGCGAACGGGUGAGUAACACGUGGGUGACCUGCCCUCAGCUCUGGGAUAAGCCCGGGAAACUGGGUCUAAUACCGGAUAUGACUCCAUGACGCAUGUUGUGGGGUGGAAAGCCUUGUGCGGCUGAGGAUGGGCCCGCGGCCUAUCAGCUUGUUGGUGGGGUGAUGGCCACCAAGGCGACGACGGGUAGCCGGCCUGAGAGGGCGACCGGCCACACUGGGACUGAGAUACGGCCCAGACUCCUACGGGAGGGCAGCAGUGGGGAAUCUUGCGCAAUGGGCGAAAGCCUGACGCAGCGACGCCGCGUGAGGGAUGACGGCCU
rnacentral:rRNA from 1 species